rnacentral:rRNA from 1 species
UUGACCUCGAAUCAGGUAGGGAUACCCGCUGAACUUAAGCAUAUCAAUAAGCGGAGGAAAAGAAACCAACAGGGAUUACCUCAGUAACGGCGAGUGAAGCGGUAACAGCUCAAAUUUGAAAUCUGGUCCGGUUACGGGCCCGAGUUGUAAUUUGUAGAAGAUGCUUUGGUAAUGAGUCCGGCCUAAGUUCCUUGGAACAGGACGUCAUAGAGGGUGAGAACCCCGUAUGCGGCCGAGUACUCAGUGCCAUGUAAAGCUCUUUCGACGAGUCGAGUUGUUUGGGAAUGCAGCUCAAAAUGGGUGGUAAAUUUCAUCUAAAGCUAAAUAUUGGCCAGAGACCGAUAGCGCACAAGUAGAGUGAUCGAAAGAUGAAAAGCACUUUGGAAAGAGAGUUAAACAGUACGUGAAAUUGUUGAAAGGGAAGCGCUUGCAACCAGACUUGGGCACUGUGGAUCAUCCGAGGUUCUCCUCGGUGCACUCGGCAGUGCGCAGGCCAGCAUCAGUUUGGGUGGUUGGAUAAAGACUUGUGGAAUGUAGCUCCUUUCGGGGAGUGUUAUAGCCACAGGUGCCAUGCGACCAACCCGGACUGAGGACCGCGCUUCGGCUAGGAUGCUGGCGUAAUGGUUGUAAGCGACCCGUCUUGAAACACGGACCAAGGAGUCUAACAUCUAUGCGAGUGUUUGGGUGUUAAACCCAUACGCGGAAUGAAAGUGAACGUAGGUGAGAACCCGUAAGGGGGCAUCAUCGACCGAUCCGGAUGUCUUCGGAUGGAUUUGAGUAAGA